UGAAUUAUGUGCUUGAGACACUUGUGUGGCUAUCAAUUGUGCAACGUUUGUCUUGUACAAUUUCUCAGACCUUGUCUUUGUCUUUUGCUCAUGGUGCAUAGAGGCUUGAGGUAUCUCUCCAGAGUUCAGAGUUCAGAAUGGUUGUGAGCUUGUCUGGUUUCAGAGCAGGCUUGUUUUGCAGUAGGCUUUGUUUCUUUUGGUGCUUAUAUUUUAUCUAGUGUUGGACUGCCCAGAUCAGCAAGUGAGUCACUACAACCUUCCACAUCACCAGAAAUUGUCGUGUCCUAAAUACAACCCUACUUUAGGUCAAAUGCAAAUAAGGGCACUUUUCUAUUCUCAUUGCAGAGCAUUGGUAUCCAAGAUUAUGAACUUCCUGCAACGAAGUUCCUUAUUCUUUUGGUUAUGAGAAAUACCAGUGCCUUAAGUACAAAUUCAAAUUAGAUCGCGACGCAAUCAGAAAUGCUCCAGUUCAUCACCCAUAACUUUCUACAACGAGUUACAGGAAUAUUUUAUGGUCUAUGAAGGACAUAUGAGUUGAAGGGAGCUUGGGGAUCACAUACAAACCAUGGUUACUGCUGAUAGGCUAUUCACACAAGUUAGUUCAUUUCUAGCUCUGGCAGUAAUUGUUGCUGCGGAAGUUGUCAAAACAAUGGUUGCCAAGGGAUAUGUUCUGGGACAAGAUGCAUUAAUCAAGGGGAUUUGUCAAAACAAUGAGUCCUAUCAAGUAUCGGCUGCUGCAACAUCCAAGGUUUAUGAGUUAGCAAUUGGAUAUGGCUCAUCAAGGCAAAGAAGCUUUUCAAUCACCUCAAUAGCUCAGAGUAUGUAGGUCAUGAUACUUAGCCUAUCGGGCAUCAGUAUUCUGUAUUUCAAUUUUUGAAUGUUUUUGUAUUUUUCAAGA